UCUUUGGCUUUAACAACUCGAACAUAUAGAUAAUGCAUCUGUUCAACAAGAUCAUAAGUGCUUGUAGCCCUGUCGCUGCUAAUCCAUCCACCUCCUCCACGCAUCCCUCCAUGUGGCCAGCGCUCUCCGAGCUUCGGUGCAGGAACACCAAAAGCUUCAGGUAUACGGACUUUGGGUAUAGGAGAUUUCAGUCUUGGCUAUCUGUACGAAGCACGAAUCUCAUGAAGCUGCCACUUCUCUCGAGGCUCUUGCAAUUUCGAGGUUGAAGAAGAUGAGCUUCUGGGUGACAGUUAAAUGGGUUUCAACGACUCAGCUAGAUGAUCUCUCAAAGUGCUUGGGCAUAAAGAUGAAGGCAGAGCUAAUAUGAAGGAAAAGCAAGUGAUGUUGAAAAAGAACUUUGAAGAGAGCUAAAGCACUGUAGUGGAGAGAUUAAAGAAAAGCAAAAGCAGUAGAGAAAAAGCUCAAGAAGGGCUUAUUCACCCUUGCCUAUAAAGAUAUGCUUUUGUUCUUUAUUCUCUUACCUUUGUUCUCCUUUAAUUAAUUUCCAACUGUCCAUCCUUGCUUUUCUGCUUCCAAAACUGAUCACUUUUGGAAGAAACCCAGUUCCUUCAAAAAAUUGCAAAAUUGGCAACUGUUUCUGUUUAGAUUGAUAUGAAUAAGAGUUGUGUUCAAAAUUUUACUUUUUUCCUGGCCUACUUGAGUAGACUAAGGGUUGUUGAAUUUGAUUGAAUCAAUCAUUUUAGGCCAUGUUUGUUUAGGUGGACAUGAGUUUGGGAUUGGACUAAUAGUUCAAUAAAAUUAUUAAUCCGAUGUUUGGUUAAACAAUUGAAGUACGGACUAAUUAUUUUAAACUUGACUAUUAGUUAAAAUAGGAUAUAUAAUCCAACGGAUUUGUAAUUCUAAGACUAUUAGUCAUGGGAAUGCUAAUUCAGUCCGCCUAAACAAACAUGACCUUAGUGAUAUGUUGGUAUCGUGGAUUAGUCGAGAGAAAAGGUAAAGAAAAAGAAAGCUGAGAAAAAUUUAGUCUCUCUUUGGAUUUUGAAUUUGUUGAAAGGUAAAGGAUUCUCUCUCCCCAGUUAUCUUUUUUCCUCUAUUCCAAAACAUUUACAACCAUCGAUGUCUCUUCUAGAUUCUUACACUCUGAAAUUUUUACAUAAUUCAAUGUUAUAGAUGUUUUGGGUUUGUAAACUCUUAAAAUGUUUUGAAAUUUGUGAGAAGUGUUUAAUGUCCCCAAAGUACAUUGUUAGACUAUAAUAAAUCUAUACUAUUAUAAAGUGUAUCUUUUGUGGUGGUCUAAAGCCUCUCCUCUUAUGCUUCUAAGUGUCUAUUUUUCAAUUUAAAACAAAAUAAUUAGAUAGAUGGGAGGAGUAAGACUCGAACCUUGAAAUUUGAGUCUAAUAAAGUAAACUCUUACUACUUGAAUAACACAAUAUAUAACAAACAUUUUGUUUUAUAUUUACUUAUUUGAAUUGUACACGCAUCGCGUAUGUCAAUUUCUAAUUUUAUAAAAACUAGCAAAAUUGUCAUACACACAUCAUUCUGUAUGACUAUCAUUUUUCAUAUUCCCAUCAUCAAAAUGGGUAGAGUUAAUAGAAAUAGAAGUAUCUCAUUUUUCUUGAUUGGAAUUCUAGUCAGUGUUAUCCACUCAUAUUAUUCACCCAAACAAUGGUUAUGGACACAAAACGGCUGCUGCAUAACACUAAAGCUUGUUUAGUCUGCUGGAAUUCCUGAGAAUCUGAACAACAGUCCAAUUGAAUAUAGAUUUGGGCCCUGUUUGGCAAUGGCUACCUAUUUCAGCCCAAAAAAAUUUGCCCAUUUGGUCAUGCUAUUUUUUGGGACCAAAAGGACAAUUAUAAUUUAAAAAACCAUUUUACGGUAUCUAUGUGUUUAUUAUUGGGAAAAUUAGUCUAAGGUCAUUUUCCCAUUUUUAAUAAUGGAAGAGAUUCACAAUAUUAUUUUUUCAUAUCUAAAGUCUCUAAACCUACAACCAUCUAUCACAGAGAAAUUUGAUAUUUCUCACACUCGCUGUCUCUCUCUCCCGCUGCUCUUCUCUCUCCUCCAUUAACUACUCUCUUAUCAAUGAUUAUAAUUUAUUUUGGUCCAGGUUCACUGUACCUUGGCAUCUUCCCAACGCAACAACGGGGCUUUAGUUGAGUAGUUGCUUCGAAAUCAAUCCUACUUUUUCGAUUUUGUUGGGAAAUUGUAACAUCAUCAUCAAAAUCCACGCAAUUUUCGUAUUUGUUUUUCUUCCUUUUCUCUUUCGCAAUCUCUCUUUACCUAUUUCAAUGGCGAUUUCGAAUGAAUCUGCAGCAAAUUCCAAAAUUUCGCCGCCAGAUACAUUUGGAUCCGUCGCAAUCGGAGGCACCUUCGAUCGAUUACACAACAGUCACCGCCUUUUUCUCAAAAAACCAGCGGAAUUGGCUAGGGAUCGCAUUGUGGUUGGAGUUUGUGAUGGACCCAUGUUGACUAAGAAACAAGUAUUUGUAACAUCUUUGUGCUCUAUGUGAAUCCAUAUUUGUUGAUUACUUACUGGGUGAUUGCUAUAAAUUGCUUAUGCUUCACUUCACAAUUUUCUCUGGAUAGACCCAAAGAAAUUUGGUGUUAAAUUUGGUGUUAGUGAUGUGUAAAAUUUUCUCUGUGAUGUGUCUGGAGAAAUUUGGUGUUGGAGAUAUGUAAAAUUUCUCUGCGAUGUACCUAGAGAAAUUUGGUGUGGGUGAUGUGUAAAAUUUUCUCUAUGAUGUGUCUAGAUAAAUUUGAAAUUUUCUCUGUGAUUUGUCCAGGGAAAUUCUCUAGAUCGAUAUUAAGGGACCUUAGACAUUAUAAAA